GCUCCCGCCCAACCACCUCGCCGGCGCCGAUGCCAGGAGAGGAUAAGGACCCCCCUCAGCCCCCUCGAUCCCCUCCCCACUUUCCUGCCGCACCCACUCCCCUCUUCCUCAUCGCUCUCCCCACUCCUCCAGAUCCCCUUCUCCCUCGCCCGACGCUGCUGUCGACGUGCGUCGCUCGAUCCCGCGGCCAUCGGCACCUCCGAGCGUCGAGGCUUCGUCUACGAGGUGCGCUGCCAUCUGCUUCAUCCUCCUCGACCAAUGGAUGAACCCUGGGCCGUCUACAUCGCCAUCAUCGACCCCAUCCCCAACCACCGGUCAUUGCCCGGCCUCAUCGGAUCUCCUUGCCGGAGACUACCCGACCUCGGCAAGCUCGUCCACGGCCUCCCCAGGGUGAGCCCAUGUCGAUUCCCCUCGUCUUUCCCUCUGUUCGACGUGCCGUUGCCCAGCCCCCACGCCACGCGAGCUCCGACCGAACCCGUGCUCACAGAGCCUAGGCCACGCCCUGCCGAUCCCCGCCGUGUCGGCCGCGUCUGCCUCUGGCCACGCUCCCGCCGUGUUCCCCGCUGCGGCCUCGUGCCCCUGGGCCAUGCCCCGCGCGGCUGCGCCCGCGAGCCCCCUGGCCGUGCUCGCCUGCUCGUGGCCUCGGGCGCCCCUGCCCGCUGCUCCCUCCCCUGCCAUCCACGACCGCGGUGGCCUGCUGUCGUUGCUGCUUCCGGCGGAGGCCUGUUACUGCCGCUGCCUUGCACACCUGCGCACACACCCAGCCGUGCCGGCCCGCCCUUCCGCCGCUGCCUAUCGCGCGCGUCCCAGCUACGUGUUGGCGCCGCCGCUGUUGCUACCCAUUGAUGCUCUGCCUAUACCGCUGCUAGUUGCUAGCAACUGUAGAUGUGGUUAGCUUUUCUAUUUCUACAAUGACUAAGCCCCUAAACAGCCCUUAAUCAGCGGUUAAACAGUUGUUAAUAUGUCUAGAAAAAAUAUGGGAUGGUAGUACACUUGACAAGGCUCAAAUGUGUUCAUUGGACCAAAUCCAUUUGAUGCAUGGAAUAAAUUCUGUGAAAAUCACAAAACGCUAUCUUUUGUUAACAGAAAACAGAAUUGUGUGUUGCGUGCUGUGUGUGGCUGGCUUGGCCAGGGCCCACUUCCGUGCGUGGCCGGCCCUUGUGUUAUUUAGGACUAAUUUAGUUUACGAGUAUUUUAUUACUAGUUUAGUCUUUAGAGCAAAUGACAUGUGGCCCCAUUUGACCCUGUUGACCAGUCAAUAGUUGACUGGUCAACUGCUGACUGGACACCCCUGGACCCCACCAGUCAGCCUCUGUGACUAGCACAUGGCUGGGUACACUUGGUAUUUUCUGUUUAUUUGCGAAUUAAAAUAAAUACCGAAAUCUUUUAAAACUUUGCAAAAUCAUUGUAAUUUCAUCGUAUCUCGGAUCGAAAAACUUUGUACAUGAAAGUUGCUCAGAACUACGAGACGAAUCAGAACACGCGGUCCAUUCGUCCGCUACACAUCCCUAGCAUAGCAAUCAUGCAACCUUUCCCAUCCAGUUCAUCUGUCUGACAGACGUCCGGAACCGGGAAAACUUUCCCGGAUGUUUCCCCCUUCGCCAGUAUUGCCUAGCGCUGCGUUAGAACACUUCUAGCCCCGCUUUUUGUCUUGUUAUGCAUAUGUUUGCGUGUAUCUACUGUUUCUUCCCCCUCUUCUCUCCGGUAGACCUCGAGACCGCUGCUGAUGCCCCUGUGAUCGACUACGUCGACGACGACCCUCCUUCUUGUCUGAGCAACCAGGCAAGCCUCCCCUUUGAUCAUCCCGAUAUCUCCCAUUCUAUACUCUCAUGCUUGCAUUAGAUUUUGCUACUGUUAUUGAUUGCUUCUAUUCUGAUGCAUAGCCUACUUUUGUAAAUGUUGUUGUACCUUACCUGCUUAUCCUAAACUGCUUAGUAUAGGUUGGCUAGUGAUCCAUCCGUGACCCGCAUUUGUCCUUGUUGCCCCUUCUUCAUCAUCGACGCCUCGAUCGACGUGAUCGACGACCAAAGCCCGACACCUCACAUCACAUCACGCCCAUUUAGUUGCUCGACUCUUUAGAGCUACUAUCGAAUGCCGAGGGUGAUCCCUCAUAACGCACUCCUGAUGAUAAUUCUGUAGUGUAGCUAUUCGGUCAUGGUCAUCGAGGGUGAUUUCCUCUUUCACCAUUCCCGAAAAGGCUCUGUCGUUCAACACCUCAAGUGUGAACCUCGAGGGUGGUCCCUCUUAUGUUCACCUUGAAGAUUACAUUGAGUGGAAUACACCAGGGGUGAUUCCUCGGGUUUUCCCCUUGAUGUUUGGACACACAGUUACCUUGACUUUACUUGAGACCUUGGUGAAAGUCGGGCGGGCCCGGAGAGCACCCGCAAGAUAAUGACGUGGCACGGCGGGGCAUUCUAGGCCCUUGUCGUAAGUCCACGAGACGGGGCGACGGGGUCACUUUCGAUCGUGAGUCUCUGCUCAUCUCCGCAAGCUAAUAAAACACUAUUGUUUGGGUAUUUGUUCUGAGUUGGCCUCUGGCCUUUACGCACUAACCACCACGCGAGAAGAGAUAUGGGCCUCGACGUCGCAGUAUCAGCCGAAGCUUUGUCAGACGUCCAGUUCAGCAUUGCGGCAUGGCCCGGUCGGCGCCCUAGUGGAGGUGGCCUGUAUCGCCCUGCACAUAAUGACCCGGAGUGCACCGAGCGAUGGGCCCAGACCCCGGAGUGCUUAGAAUGUAGACCGGCUGGGACCUCUCUGUUGAGCCUAGGUAGGGUCGCGACGUGUUGAUCUUCCGAGGUCGGGCAUUAACCCCAGAAAGGUGUGUCCGGCCAGAGUGAUCGAGCGUGUUGGGUAAUGUGGUGCACCCCUACAGGGAAGUUAUAUAUUCGAAUAUCGUGUCCAUGCUAAUGGACAUUCAGACUUAUAUCCUGAUCUUAUACAACUACAAAUGGAUACUUAAGAUAUGUGGCUCCGGGAUUGUUUUCUCGCAGGGAGUCGAGGAAGGAUCUCUGGGCAUUAAUGUUACAACAUGUUUGUUAAAUAUUAAACUGGUAUUCUUUACUCUUCUACAUGUGGCAAGAUGCUCGGAGCUGCGUGAAGAUGCUAGUCUUUGAUACGCUAGGCCUUCCCCCUUUAUUCUGGCAUUCUGCAGUUCAGUCCAUAGAUACAAACCUUCCAUUUGAUACCAAUGCAUACUCAGUAUAGAUCUGAUGCUCGCGAGUACUUUGGAUGAGUACUCACGGUUGCUUUGCUACCCCUUUUCCCCCUUCUUUCUCCUUUUCGGUUGAUGCAACCAGAUGGUGGAUCCCUGGAGCCAGAUGCCAUCGCUGACUGAUACUGCUACAUGGAUGCUGCCGAAGACCAGGAGUAGUUAGGAUGUCCCAGGCAGGAGGCCUUGCCUCUUCGAUCGUGUUGCUUUUGUGCUAGCCUUCUUAAGGCAUCUUUGUUUAACUUAUGUCUGUCCUUAGAUAUUGUUGCUUCCGCAGACUCUUGUGUAUUGAGCUAUGUAUUCGAGCCUUCGAGGCCCCUGGCUUGUAAUAUGAAGCUUGUAUUAUUUUAUUUGUGUCUAGAGUUGUGUUGUGAUAUCUUCCCGUGAGUCCCUGAUCUUGAUCGUACAUAUUUGCGUGUAUGAUUAGUGUACGAUUGAAUCGGGGGCGUCACAGCUGUACUAAAUACAUGAGAAACAAAUAGAAUUGCUAUAUUUCCAAGUUGUUAAGCAUGCUUGAUUUCCAAGUUGUUAAGCAUGCUUCGUUUGGUUAACUGUUUAAUCUUCU
rnacentral:lncRNA from 1 species